rnacentral:piRNA from 1 species
UCCCAACAUCCCUGGAAGCCAGAAGC